GGAACUCCCCGCUCUGAGCUGAGGGAUGUUUUUGGGGGGUUGGCAGUGGGCUCCCACUGAGGGUGACGCUGCCAUGCCAGCAGGGAAGUGCAAGUCCCCCCAAGAAGUCCCACCACGUUGAGUCUGUUGCUCUUUUCCUGUGUUUCUUGCUCUGCUUCCAGGGGGAGAGAGGCAUGCCAGGGCUGCCGGGAAGACACGGCAUGAAGGGAGCCCCUGGGUUGGCCGCCGCCGGGAUGAAGGGUGAGCCUGGGACUCCAGGAGAAAAGGGACAGCCCGGAGUCCCAGGGAGGAUGGGCCCCCCAGGUUUGCCAGGGAAAAGGGGGCAGCGGGUAGGACACCGCGUGUUUGGCCUUGGUGUGCUGUGUUCCCUGAGAGCGGGGCUGGCAGGAGCCUGCUUGGCCUUGCGUUGUGCUUGCGGGGCAUCGUGUGUCCUCCUCUGGCUCUUGCCCCGCUGGUGAAGUGCGUUUGCGUGUUCUCGCAGGGGCCCGGGGCGUGGGCUGGUCCCGGGAACAGCUGAGGACAGGUCUGCAGCUCUUGGCUCCAGAAAUAACGCCGGGGUUCAGUAAGCUGACCUCCCUCCUCAGGAAAGCUGCCUCCUCACACCGGUGUUCAGGUGGCACCAAGCUUUCGGUAGGGCCCUUGUAGCCCUUACGGGGACAGGAUUUGGGAUGAUUAAAUUCUGCUAUCCUUACCAAAACCCUGAAGGCCAACCCUUUUUCUUCAGGCAUGAGGUCCUGCCCAAAUGAGGUUUUUAUUCUUUCCAGGGAGAGAAUUAUUCAUGGAUGCAUGCUCUGCUAGGGGAGAAACGUUGGUGGGGGCCUUCCAGGUGGCAGCAGGCUGAAAUACCUUAGAGAAAGGGGUCACUGCACUCCUAAAUUGCCUAAAAAUGAUUACUGCUUGUUAAUUAUUUUCCACGGAGCUGCCAGUGCAUGUCUGUUCUUGGAGCAUUGAUGCAAGCCCCCUGCAUGCCAGAUGUGUGCCCUUGAGCUCCAUGGGACGGGUGUGCAGCACCAGGGAACGCGGUGCUGCUCUGGAGAGAGCGAGGCACCUGCUAGGAAAGGGGGUUUGAAUUGUUCUUUGUAAUCUGCACAAAUUGUUAGUCUUGGAGGCGUGAGGAUUGCAGGUAAGGACACACCUUCUUCUGGUGAUGCACUUGACAUGUCUCUGUGGCAUUAAAAGCCCUCCAAUAUCACACUCUCAUGACAAGAGGCAGAGCCCCAGGUAGCACGCAGUAGCUGGAAACCAUGGGCUGGGUGGGAUAGGAUUAACAGAACCUAAUUUCAACGUCAAGACCACUGGCUGAACCCACAGAUGAUCCCGAUGCUGUGGUGAACGAAGCAAAGUCACUUCACCAAGCGAAGGCUGGGUGCUGGCUGCCCUCUCUACUCACUGCCCUGCGCCAUCCUCCGGGGUGCCUUGAGCAGGCCGUGCUUUCAGGCAUCCCAUCGGGGGCCUCAACCCACUCCUGCCCUUUCCCAAACUCCUGUUUUCGCUGCUUUCCACCACCACCGUGUGUCGCAGAGCUUGGCUGCUAACCGAGCUGCUGCGCUGCUGUUAUUCCGGCGUGAUGAGGCUGGGGUGUGGAGGUGGGGGCAGGAGCCACCCCGGGAGAGGUGUAGGAUCGCUGGCUGGGAUCCCUGCCAGGACAGUGAAGUUGUGGCGGCUGGGAGGGGUGGAAACUGGGAAAUCAGUGGGCAGCUCCUGCGGGAAGAGCUGAGCCCCUGCACCCCAAAUAAGAUAAGGCACCCCGGGCAGCAGCUUUGCUAAUUAUGAGGAGUGGGGAGAGCCCGUGCUGGAGGGCUGACAGGAGGAAGGGUUUAGCAGACCAGA
ensembl:lncRNA